UACGUAGGGUGCAAGCGUUAAUCGGAAUUACUGGGCGUAAAGCGUGCGCAGGCGGCUUUGCAAGACAGAUGUGAAAUCCCCGGGCUUAACCUGGGAACUGCAUUUGUGACUGCAUGGCUAGAGUGCGGCAGAGGGGGAUGGAAUUCCGCGUGUAGCAGUGAAAUGCGUAGAUAUGCGGAGGAACACCGAUGGCGAAGGCAAUCCCCUGGGCUGAGAUUGACGCUCAGGCACGAAAGCGUGGGGAGCAAACAGG
rnacentral:rRNA from 1 species